CAGCGGCCACGGUAAUACGGAGGGGGCUAGCGUUGUUCGGAAUUACUGGGCGUAAAGCGCACGUAGGCGGCUUGGUAAGUUAGAGGUGAAAGCCUGGAGCUCAACUCCAGAAUUGCCUUUAAGACUGCCGAGCUAGCAGGUGAGAGAGGUAAGUGGAAUUCCGAGUGUAGAGGUGAAAUUCGUAGAUAUUGGGAAGAACACCGGUGGCGAAGGCGGCGACCUGGUCCUUGACUGACGCUGAGGCGCGAAAGCGUGGGGAGCAAACAGGAUUAGAUACCCCUGUAGUCCCUGUCUCUUAUAC
rnacentral:rRNA from 1 species